AUUUUAACAAUAUUUGACAGCCUAAAAGAUGGAAGGGUAAAACAUAAGCACAGGAAAGGAAAUACUUCUGUGGGAAGUAAAUUGAAGAAGGGCAUGUAAGAUGCAACCACCACAUCAGUGAAACCUUACAAUACAUUAAAUCUUUCUUCCUUGUACAGGUGAAGAAAUUAGUAGCUAAAAAUGAGCAGGAAUUGGCUGAAGCAGAUCUUUAAGCACAGAGAAUUUAGGUUGAUGCAACUGAUGUGCUGAGACAAAGAGGAAACUCCAUGACCUGCAAACCUAUUCAUUUUUAAGUGUAGUUAUGAGAAAUGCAAGAGUUUUCUGUUUUCUGAUGGCACUGCAAUAUAAUUUUCUGUUUAUGAUCUGUUACACGUGAAGUUUUGUUGAAAGAUAUAUGAAGGGCUAAUGGUUAAAGCUGAAAAAGGGUUUUCAAGUAAAAUUUGGAGUACAUUAAUUUUUUUGUUAGUGAAAUUUAUUACACUGAUUUGUUUCCUGUAAUUUUGAUGAGGUGAUGUGGUAAGUGAUUUGUAUCACAGUCUAAGCCCUCUAAAUUUAAACAUAAACAAAGUGGCUCUUGUUGAGGACUGUUUUAGGAUUUACCCUAAAGGACGGAAAACCGGAAGGUCAGACUGGCUCCUUUUUGGAAAAAGUCAUGCGGCUCAAGUUGAGAGUUACAUUUCAGCAAUCAUCACAAUAGGUCUAAUCUAAAGCAGAGUUGGGAGUAAACACCAUGAAAUGAAGACAAAUGCUACUUGAACUUCAACCCAAACCAGAUUACCUAUAAAUAUAGAAAAUUCCAAACAAUUUGUACAAUGACGGGAUGAAAAAUUUGAGCCGUUGUAGUGAACGCCGUUUUCAACAAAUAGCUAAUAUUCACCAAAAAAAUUCAAAAAUAUGUCUGUGAAAUCGCUAUUUCUAUCUCUGUAGACGAAUAAACUAUAAUUUUCAUGUCCCGUUCAUCACAAAUCUCUCUCUUUUGGCAACAGAGAAAAUCUCCAGAGAGGGAAUAUAUUCUGAUAGUUUUAGAUCCACCUAUCCAAAACAAACAUUUUCUGUUAAAAAUAUGGCAGGGAUUAAACAGCGGCCAAAUUUUCUCAUCUUUUUGAACAAAGCUCAAGCAAACGACGUUUGGGGUAAAUUCAGCUCUAACAACGAUUUCAAUAAACAUUGAAGCUAACCUAUAGUUGAAGCAGGGCAAGUGUCGAGCACAUGUUGGUAGUUGCGAAACACUGCAAAAUUAAACAUCCUUAACGCCAAGUUUAAUUAGGUUGUGGAGGUCGUGGGUUUGCAGGCGGUGACGAGCAUUUCUCUUCACAUUAAAUGGACUGCUAGACGAGCCAUGGGGUAGAUCAACAUGUACGGUUUUCAUUAUCUCUACAUACAGAUUUUAAGUCAUAGCACAUCAAAAAUUACGAAAUCUACAGAAAUCAUAGCACAUCACCUGACAUUUUCAAUAUACAUCUCACAAAAGAGCUGACAAAUGCGUCAGACAAGACAGGAUAUCAAUCCUGGAAAAACUUUCCUGAAAUCGAUCCGAAAUAAAAAAUCGGCCUCAGGUGGGUGUUUCUUCCAUAUAAUAGCCUAUUGGCUAACAAGGCGCUCAAACAGAUCUUGCUCAAGAUUUGAGAGGUUGUCAUCUUAAUUGCUCCAACCUGUACAUUGUACCAUCCGUAGAAUUUACUUGGAUUCGGUAGGGGUCGUUUGAGAUACAUUUUUAAUGCUUGUUCCUGUUCGCCUCAAAAGUUAGUUUUCUAUAAUGCAUGACUUUGUAUUUUGCCAAACACUCUCCCUGAAAGAGUUCAGCUCCUCAGAGCUGUUCGAGAAUGUAAGUCUGAAUGACAUAGUAUUUAGCAUAUGAGCUGCAGCUCAGGAAGUCGUUGUACUGUAUAUUUUGAUUAAUGAAAACUUUGACUUUGUCUUAUUUUUUAUGCUCUCCUUCAUUCCUAGAUCUGGUAUUAGAGCCAAGGUUUGUAGAUGUGAGAAAGAACGAGAAAUGGUUGUGAGAGGCUGAGAGCCAGUGGAGUCCAGUUGAGUCUAUCGUAGUUAAAGUUUGAAAAGAUUUGAAGGUCAAGAAAUUGACAUUGUCUCCUAUAACAAAGAUUUUAUCACCCUUUAGUUUAAAAAGCCGUUGACUUGAGAAGUUAGUAAUAGCCCACUUCAGAAGACAAAUGAAGUUAGUUUUAAAAGCUUCUGUCAAUGCAACCUCGUCUUUAGAGGUCCGAAUCAAGCAAGCGCUUUCUAAGAGCUGAAAAGUCUUCCUCCCCACAUCUCCAUUUUUUUUCGUUUGCACCUCUUCUCUCUCUUCCCCUCCAUCCCCUACAACAAGAUUAUUCUUCUCCAUUUUUGCAUUACCUUCUUUACCAAUUUUCUCACUAUCAGCCCCCUCUUCCAUAUUUCCCCAAAUUUCCUUAGACAACAUAAACACAUUCUUAAAACCAACAAAACAAACUUUAUUCUUGAUCUUAUCGCAGACCCCAAAAAACUUGGUCUUCAACCCUCAUUAACUUCUUAUACAGUUGCUCAUUACUAUACGAACCAUCCAAAUCCUUUCUAACAAUCUCAUAAAAAACCCCCAUAUUUUUUAGUAAACUUAUCUUUUUUCCACGACGCCACAAGCCUCUUUUGCAAUGCGAUGUCUUAAGCGCGGCCUAAUUUGGACUGCUAAAAAAAAUAAGUUGAGGAGUUUACCCAAAAAUAUGGGGUGUUUUAAUGAGAUACUUAGGAAGGAUUUGGAUGGUCCGUAUAAGAAGUUAAAGGGGUUGAAGACCAAGUUUUGUGGGGCUUGCAAUAAGAUAAAAAAUAAAGUUUUUUUUUUUUUUUUUUUCAAAGAAUGCACAUGAAGAGACCGUUUAUGUUGUCUAGGGAAAUUUGGGGAAAUAGGGAAGAGGAGGCUGGUAGUGAGAAAAUGGGUAGGGAAGUAAUGCAAGAAUAAUCUUGUUGUGGGGAUGGAGGGGAAGAGAGAGAAGAGGAAGCUUCGCAUGUGUCUGAAAGUUUGCGCAACAGGGUUGCAGGCAUGGAGAGAAAGGUGAGGAGAAUGUCGGAGAAGAGAAGGAAGCUUCUGGGGAAAAUGUGGGGGAAUAAGAGAAUUCUUCUGAGGAGAGUGAAAAUGACUGAGCAGCGCCGAACUCUCCUUACCACUCAAUUCAUUUUCACUCCCAAUAACAAAAUUUUGAGUGCUGGUAGUCGCAAAUCUUCUUCUACCAUUGGCCUUUCUAGGUUUUCCCUGAAUCUUCUUAUACGUUACAUUGAGAAUGGUUUGUCUGCUGUCACUAACCAGGUACAUCACAUAUGCUUUAUUCUUCUUUUACUUUCUGCUCUUUAGUUUGUAAUGGAUUUUAGAUUUAUACGGCUCCCUAUAGGGUUUGGACUGCACAAAAAUGGACAAUGGCAGAUUUUUCUAAAUUGUUUUAAGGCAUUUCAGAGGGGGCAAAAAUGUUUUCGGGACCUUGAUGUAUUUUGAUUUUUGACAAUCAAGACUUUAAAAAUCGUAAUUUUCUUUCGUGUUGUAAUGGUGGCCUUUUUUGGGUGAUUUGAUUUAGAAAAUUUUCAAGUCCCGGCUUUCUACCGAAGCACAUUCAAUGGCGGUUGACGUGUUGAAAGGAUUGGGGAAUGCAGUGGGGCUUUUAGCGAUAGCCAAUGUUUUAGAAAGAUUAGACAACAUUUCUUCAAAUGACAGGGAAUUCAUCGACCUUCUCAAAGAUAUGCUUAAGCUAGGAAUAUAUAUUUGAAGCUAAUGAAAGAUCUCAUUGUUAAAUUCUACAAAGAGGUUUUGGACGAUAUGCAUGAACCUGUUCAAAUGAUACUUUCUGGUGCGAUUUUCUGUCGUUCCUUUAUCUCAUCAAAUAAAUUAUCCAAGUAAGUCAUCAACAAGGAAUUUGUUUCCAUACAUUCACUGAUAAAUUUAUCUGCUCAAAAGAUACAGAGCAUUGUUCUGCUGCGUUGACUUCCUAAAAUGCCUCAUACAGUAAAUGAAAAGAAAGUUCCUUUUGACCAAAAAGAUCCGAGAUGAACUUGUCUAUAUUCGCGGAAAAGUAAAUUCUUUCAAAGCGGAUCUUCAGGGUCACGUGCAGCUUCUGAUGAUGAAGACACUUACCUCCAUCCAAGAGCAAUAUAUUACAGGUCGAAACGAGGAGAACAUCUCCCUUGGAACGAUGGAAGAAUACCAAUCCUUUCAACACAGAGCAGAAUGUUAAAACAGAGCUCCAUGGAUCAGACUCAGACACUGCUUCUUCUCAGGGACAAGAUAAAUGAGUACAAACAACUGGAAAUACCAGUAGUUAGCUCUUCCCAGAUGAGUAAAUUUGUUAGAAAAGUAAUUCCAACUAUAUUCAGACGGCGGCCAAAAUUUCUACCCCAUCUAGAAUUACAAAUGUUGGUGAAGGAGAUCCAACCAUCUCAAAUUGAGUAUAAUUCGACGAAUUGUGCAGGGCAACUAGAGGGUUCAGUGAAAGUCUAGGAACAGGGGCUUUCGGGUUUGUUUGCGGUGCAAGUUCCCUUUGAAUUUAAACUGUCAAUUAAAGCUGAUUACGUAUAAAUAUUUGAUUAGAAAAAUGAAUUCUAUUUGGUAGAAAGCAAAUAGCAGUUAAGGUCUAAGCAAUGAAAGUUGAACUUUUAAAUAGCGGAAAAGCCAGUUAAGAUCUCUGAUAAUUUAUCCUUUUAAAGGGAAUUCUGUCUGGUGGAAGACGAGUGGCAGUAAAGAUCUUGGGCAAGAAAAGGAUUAUUGAUGACAAAACAGCGUGGAUGAAUCGUACUGUUAUUCUGAUAUUGUGUUGGUGUUGUUUCGGCUUCAGAAGCAAUGCCAGUAAAAAUUUCACUUUAACUGUUUAAGUCGGUGAUACCAGUAUUGUAGAGUAGUGAAAUUGGUCUCUUAUCUCUGUAUAAGGAUGUUUUGUCUGCAAAACUUAUUUUAUUGCUCUGCUAAAAGCUCUUUUUGUUGGCAUCAAGCUGGUGACAUGUCAAAAGAUACAAGCAUUUACUAAAUUAAAUAGAGAUUUAUAGUUAGU